rnacentral:lncRNA from 1 species
GUUCUGACAUUUCAUGCAGAUUAUGAAGUGCUGGCCGAAGGGCAGCUGGAACUCAGGUCUGGAUGGGAGGCAGCAGCUGCCCCGUGCCAGCCAGAGGCCUCAGCACAGAGCUUCAGAACCUGCAGAUUCUGCCUGGUUUUCAGGAGGGAAUGGCCCUUUUCCUGGAGCAGUCCAGUCACAGGCAUGCAGGAGUCAGUGUCUGCACUUCUCAAAAAUUCUUCUGACAGCAGGUACAGCCAUUUGCUUCCAUUAUUUCUGCAAGCUGCAAAUGACCUCACCUUUUAAAGCAUGCAUUUGCCUGAAGAGCAAGAUUAAUGUAGCAGGAUUGUUAGUGCAUCUGAUUGUCUUCUACCUUUCCACAUGAAGACUUGUUGGUGACUAAUAACAGAGAAGCUUCUCAGCCUGUCCUGAGUGGGAACAUGAUUCUUCUUCCUGUUGUUUGUGAUGUUUGUGGUGUUGAUAAACCUGUUUGGAAAUAUCUUGCAUUCAGCUUAAGGAUGCUGAUUAAUGUUAUUUCCAGAAAAAAAUUGCUUUCAUACCUGUUAUGAAGUUUCCCUGUUAACAUCAGUUUGAUGUGAAACUUUACUAAACUCAGGAGCUUCCAAUUCAGAAUAUUCUGUUAUUUUCUGUAACUCAGGGGAAUUAUCCACCUUUGAGGCCUGCACCCCAAAAUGCUCAGGUGGGAACACACAGACAGGGGUGCAUCCCAACAGCUGUAAGAAGGUUAAUGUGAUGUGACUGUGCUCAGGAAAUGAGAUUUUUCCCUGAGAGCUCCUCGGCUGCUGGCUGGAUCUGCAGGACACACUGCCCUCCCUUGGCCGUGGAUGGGCUGUGGAUCUGGGCUGGGGAACCUGCCUUUCCUGAGCAUCCCUGGGCUGGGGAAACUGCCUUUCCUGAGCAUCCCUAAGGAACCUGCCUUUCCUGAGCAUCCCUGGGCCCAGGGAAGGUCACUGGAACCUGCUUUGUGCUGUGAUUUAUAAACUCAGAGGUUCAGACUUUGUAGGUG